UGUUGCGCAUGGGAGCUCAUGCGUGCACGUUAUUUUCCACGGAAGGAUACAUACCAGAACUAAUUAAACAGCCCGUUGGGUUGUAUCAGGUGCUAACAGACAUUGCAGCUGUCUGACCAGCAAAAAUAUCGUGGGCUGCCAUAACGGUCACUUGGUUUGCCUUUUUAGGACAUUCUGUACGCACGGAAUCAUACAGUAUGCAGCCUUUCCUGCCUGGCUCCCUCACCUCACAUGGAGUGUUCGAGAUUCAGCCACGCUGCAGUAUGUGUCGGUGUUUCCUUUUCACCGAACAGUCUGGUUUGUUAUCUGUUGGAGUUAAGGGCUGGUCACCAGUGGGUUGGACGAGUGGUUCUCUACUGGGGCCAGGUGUACUCCUCUUGGACAUGUGGCAGUGUCUGGAGGGACUUGGUUGUCACACCUGGGGUGGGGCUGCCCCUGGCGUGGAACAGAGUGAGGCCGGGAAGCUACCGGACUACCUGCCACACACAGGAUGGCCCAGGGCCAGGGACGGCCUGGCCCAAAUGUCAGCAGCGCCAAGGUCGAGAGUCUGUGUUAACUUUACUGAGUUCUCACUUAUCCCCAGGGGCGCCUGUUUAAAACCAAGUGGCACAAGAUGUAAACCUUCGCUUUGAAUGUACUGCAUGUCAUUGCAUUGGAGUUUCGUCUAAAUUUUAUGUAUAUUUAAAAUACAAACUCUUUUGUGG